AGAGUUUGAUCCUGGCUCAGGAUGAACGCUGGCGGCGUGCUUAACACAUGCAAGUCGAACGAAGCACUUUUGAUUGAAUCUUCGGAGGAAAGAGAAAGUGACUGAGUGGCGGACGGGUGAGUAACGCGUGGGUAACCUGCCUCAUACAGGGGGAUAACAGUUAGAAAUGACUGCUAAUACCGCAUAAGCAUACAGUACCGCAUGGUACAGUGUGAAAAACUCCGGUGGUAUGAGAUGGACCCGCGUCUGAUUAGGUAGUUGGUGGGGUAACGGCCUACCAAGCCGACGAUCAGUAGCCGACCUGAGAGGGUGACCGGCCACAUUGGGACUGAGACACGGCCCAAACUCCUACGGGAGGCAGCAGUGGGGAAUAUUGCACAAUGGGGGAAACCCUGAUGCAGCGACGCCGCGUGAAGGAAGAAGUAUUUCGGUAUGUAAACUUCUAUCAGCAGGGAAGAAAAUGACGGUACCUGACUAAGAAGCCCCGGCUAACUACGUG
rnacentral:rRNA from 1 species